rnacentral:lncRNA from 1 species
GUGCGUAGAGCUGGGUGUGAUUUGGGCAUGCUCUGUCCACCUUACCCAGGUAGCGGAAGCAGCCUCCAGAACUCAUGAAUCCCAAGUGGCCUUGUGGCUCUUUGCAUUUUCAUUUGUUCCUGCCAAGCACACUGAGCACGAAACGCCCCCAAGGGAAGACAGAAAGGGAACUGAAAAGAGAAACCCAGUGCACACAGGAACCCACGUACUCCCCCAAGUUGCCGGUCAAAGCAAACAGCCUGGUACACCCUCUUCCUGCAGCUGACUUACUCUGCACAGAGCCUGGAGCCCUUCCAACUAUCACCACACCACAAAAAAAGUGAGCACUGCUGCCUUCAUGGGGGCUUUGCCUUCAGGAAGC